rnacentral:rRNA from 1 species
AAUGAACGCUGGCGGCAGGCCUAACACAUGCAAGUCGAACGGGAUCUUCGGAUCUAGUGGCGGACGGGUGAGUAACGCGUGGGAACGUACCCUUUGCUUCGGAAUAGCCUCGGGAAACUGGGAGUAAUACCGAAUGUGCCCUGCGGGGGAAAGAUUUAUAGGCAAAGGAUCGGCCCGCGUUGGAUUAGCUAGUUGGUGGGGUAAUGGUCCACCAAGGCGACGAUCCAUAGCUGGUGUGAGAGGAUGACCAGCCACACUGGGACUGAGACACGGCCCAGACUCCUACGGGAGGCAGCAGUGGGGAAUCUUAGACAAGGGGGGCAACCCUGAUCUAGCCAUGCCGCGUGAGUGAUGAAGGCCUUAGGGUUGUAAAGCUCUUUCGCUGGGGAAGAUAAUGACUGUACCCAGUAAAGAAGCCCCGGCUAACUCCGUGCCAGCAGCCGCGGUAA